rnacentral:miRNA from 1 species
CAUGUACGUAUAUUCACAUAGGGGGGGACACACACACACACGGACAUACCCAUGUCCGUGUGUGUGUGUGUCCCCCCCUAUUUGAAUAUAGGGUACC